UUUUUUGUUUUUUUGUUUUUUGUUUUUCUGUUCUUUGGAAUUUGUUUCUGGGUUAAGCACAGUCAGUUGCCAUGCUGCCAGCAAGUUGCCAUUAUUCAAUUCAACAAUCAGUUAAGGUUUCUUUUUUUUUUUUUUUUAAGAAUUGUAUUUAUUCAUGAGAGACACACACACACAGAGAGAGAGAGAGAGGCAGAGACACAGGCAGAGAGAGAAGCAGGCUCCCUCAGGGAGCCCAACCCGGAACUUGAUCCCGGGACUCAAUCCCGGGACCCCAGGAUCAUUCCCUGGUCCAAAGGCAGCCGCCCAACCGCUGAGCCACCCAGGGAUCCCUCAGUUAAGGUUUCAGGACUUGGGCAAGGUAACUGACUAGAGAGUAGGAACACACCAUUUAAAGUUGCUUUUUUUCUCAUAAAAAUGAUGGCAGUUAUGGAAAGAGAGAAGAAAAACUUUUUGAAAACUAACGUGAUAUGAAUUAAUACAUGUAUACACACAUGCAUAUGUACAUGUUCUUUUAAAAGAGCGAAGAGUUCAAGGGAAAAAUAACAUUAAAAGAAGAGCUGUUCAAAAAUUUUCUUAAAUUUUAAAAGUCCUUCAGAAAAUAAAAAGAGAUUAAAGAAUUUGAGGUCAAGAAUUCUUAGAAAUUAAGAAAUCAACUCACCAUUUACAUUUCUUUUUUUUAAAUAGAUUUUCUUGAACAAAUCUUUAUUCACUUGCUGUGUGCCCUUUUUUUAUAAUAAAUUUAUUUUUUAUUGGUGUUCAAUUUACCAACAUACAGACCAUUUACAUUUCUUUUAGAGUCCCUCUAUAGGAGCACCUGAGUGGCUCAUGGAUGACCUUCUGCUUUUGGCUCGGGUCAUGAUCCUGUGAUCCCAGGGCCUGGGAUUGAGUUCUGGAUGGGCCUCCCCAUAGGGAGCCUGCUUCUCCCUCUGCCUGUGUCUCUGCCUCUCUCUCUGUGUCUCAUGAAUAAAUAAACAAAGUCUUUAAAAAAAUAAAAUAAAUAAAUUCCCUCUAUACACUCCAGCAAGUGUAUAUCGCAUUGCAGAAAAAUGCACCAGAGUCCAAAUGCUACCAAGUCUAGGAAGCAGUCAGGGUUAACAUUUAUUCCAAGUGGAAAAACAUGGCACUCAGCUACAUCUAAUGGCAUGAAGAUCAACUAAGGCACACAAAAGUACUUGUUUUUUGUAAUCUAUUCAAAGGUACAGCCGUUUGCUUUGCUUAGCAUUCUCAAGACGAUAGUUUUGUCAAUGGUGAUAAGAGUAAGUAUGAUUAUGUUAUAGAAUUAUCAUCAAUAAAAACAAAAGUGUCAUAAAUGGUAUCCUUAAACUUGGAACCAAUUAGCAGCACCUAUAAUCAUUCUCCUUAAUUAUUCUCAUUUUCUUAGAGGAGAAGAGAGGAGAAUUUAAUGUGUAUCAGGUUAAGUGUUUCCUCCCUAAAGUUAAAUACUUUUUUCUAUAAUAAUCUCUAAUGAAUGCAUGUUUGAUAUUUUAUACUUCUUUUCUUUUGCAUGAGCAGACCUACUGACGUUUUCCACCUUGUUCAAGCAAAAAUGAAAAAGAAUGCUAAGUCAUUACAAUGUGAAACUAGCCUAUUUCUUUUUCUGAGUGUUACUUGGAAGAAUGCAUCUUGCUAUAAAGCCAGUAUUUUUUCUUCAAUUAAUAUAAAUAAGAAAUGGGACAGAUUAAGGGAUUGGGUAUGUGAUUUAUCUCUGGUCUGUAAUUUGUUUAAAAAGCAACUCCUAUUUCUUUUCUAACCUGUUCAUUUCUCUCCUCUAUGCAGCUUAAAAAAAAAAAAAAA
rnacentral:lncRNA from 1 species